rnacentral:rRNA from 1 species
UUCAUUGACCUCUGACCUCAAAUCAGGUAGGACUACCCGCUGAACUUAAGCAUAUCAAUAAGCGGAGGAAAAGAAACUAACAAGGAUUCCCCUAGUAACUGCGAGUGAAGCGGGAAAAGCUCAAAUUUAAAAUCUGGCGGUCUU